AACUAACUUGCAGUUGCCUCCCUUGGACCUAUUGGUCGAGCUUUUCCCUUGGGUGGCCGUACCCACUGGGAACCAUGGAGUUGGUUCUCACCCCACGUGGUUUUGGGGUGUUACAGGUUCACACGUGAGCGGCGCGGCGGCGCGAGGCGAAGGCGUAGCAUCAUAGUUAGCGCCCUACCACCGAGACCAGAGAUAGCGGUACCCUGAGUCGGCUUUUCUUAAAGAUGUAAGAAAAUGAAAGGAAUAAGAUUGUAAUAAUCAUGUUAAAUCGGAUUGUAUUUGGAAGUUAAAUGUAAUAAGUAUUUGGGAUGUAAAAUGUAUGAAUGUGAAUGCAUGUAAUAACAUAAGAUGUGUUAUGUUGUUUGAUACCUUCCAUUAUGCAAUCUUGAUUGAAAUGUGUUCCUGGUUGGAACUUCGUACAUUGUAUUGAUUACGAUGCCUUGAAUGUACAGGGGAGACUCUGUCCGCGGUACAGGGGAAACCCUGUCCGUUCGGCGGUCUGUCGGCGGCGCUGCGACCCGGCCAAAUAGGCGGGUGGUUGCGGGGCGUGACAUGGC
rnacentral:lncRNA from 1 species